AGUAAUGUCUGGGAAACUGCCUGAUGGAGGGGGAUAACUACUGGAAACGGUAGCUAAUACCGCAUAACGUCGCAAGACCAAAUGGGGGACCUUCGGGCCUCAUGCCAUCAGAUGUGCCCAGAUGGGAUUAGCUAGUAGGUGGGGUAACGGCUCACCUAGGCGACGAUCCCUAGCUGGUCUGAGAGGAUGACCAGCCACACUGGAACUGAGACACGGUCCAG
rnacentral:rRNA from 1 species